rnacentral:rRNA from 1 species
UGGGGAAUCUUGCACAAUGGGGGAAACCCUGAUGCAGCGACGCCGCGUGAACGAUGAAGCCCUUCGGGGUGUAAAGUUCUUUCGGCAGGGACGAUAAUGACGGUACCUGCAGAAGCAGCUGCGGCUAACUACGUGCCAGCAGCCGCGGUAAUACGUAGGCAGCAAGCGUUGUUCGGAAUUACUGGGCGUAAAGAGUGCGUAGGCGGUUGGCUAAGUUUGGUGUGAAAUCUCCCGGCUCAACUGGGAGGGUGCGUCGAAAACUGGCUGGCUAGAGUGCGGGAGAGGAUAGUGGAAUUCCUGGUGUAGCGGUGAAAUGCGUAGAUAUCAGGAGGAACACCUGAGGUGUAGACGGCUAUCUGGACCGUAACUGACGCUGAGGCACGAAAGCGUGGGGAGC